UGAGGAAUCUUGCGCAAUGGGGGAAACCCUGACGCAGCAACGCCGCGUGAGUGAGGAAGGUCUUCGGAUCGUAAAGCUCUGUCAGUUGGAAAGAAAUGUCUGAGAGUCAAUCCCUUUCAGGCUUGACGGUACCAACAGAGGAAGCACCGGCUAACUCCGUGCCAGCAACCGCGGUAAUACGGGGGGUGCAAGCGUUGUUCGGAAUUAUUGGGCGUAAAGAGCGUGUAGGCGGCCGGAUAUGUCAGAUGUGAAAGCCCCGGGCUUAACCCGGGAAGUGCAUUUGAAACUGUCCGGCUCGAGUAGGGGAGAGGGAAGUGGAAUUCCUGGUGUAGAGGUGAAAUUCGUAGAUAUCAGGAGGAACACCGGUGGCGAAGGCGACUUCCUGGCCCUAUACUGACGCUGAGACGCGAGAGCGUGGGUAGCAGACAG
rnacentral:rRNA from 1 species